UACGAAGGGGGCUAGCGUUGCUCGGAAUCACUGGGCGUAAAGGGUGCGUAGGCGGGUCUUUAAGUCAGGGGUGAAAUCCUGGAGCUCAACUCCAGAACUGCCUUUGAUACUGAGGAUCUUGAGUUCGGGAGAGGUGAGUGGAACUGCGAGUGUAGAGGUGAAAAUUCGUAGAUAUUCGCAAGAACACCAGUGGCGAAAGGCGGCUCACUGGCCCGAUACUGACGCUGAGGCACGAAAAGCGUGGGGAGCGAACAGG
rnacentral:rRNA from 1 species